rnacentral:rRNA from 1 species
AGAGCGAACGCUGGCGGCAGGCCUAACACAUGCAAGUCGAGCGCCCCGCAAGGGGAGCGGCAGGCGGGAGAGUAACACGUGGGAACGUACCCUUCAGUUCGGAACAACCCAGGGAAACUUGGGCUAAUACCGAAUACGUCCGUAAGGAGAAAGAUUUAUCGCUGAAGGAUCGGCCCGCGUCUGAUUAGCUUGUUGGUGAGGUAACGGCUCACCAAGGCGACGAUCAGUAGCUGGUCUGAGAGGAUGAUCAGCCUCACUGGGACUGAGACACGGCCCAGACUCCUACGGGAGGCAGCAGUGGGGAAUAUUGGACAAUGGGCGCAAGCCUGAUCCAGCCAUGCCGCGUGGGUGAUGAAGGCCCUAGGGUUGUAAAGCCCUUUCGGCGGGAAGAUAAUGACGGUACCGCAGAAGAAGCCCGGCUAACUUCGUGCCAGCAGCCGC